rnacentral:rRNA from 1 species
AUGUCGCGAUCUUGCUCGUCAUCAGCAUCGGCUUCCGGCACGGCCGACGCAGACGGCGAAUCCCGGCCGGCGGUGGUGUCCCUGGCCCAUCUGCUGCAGGGGCCUGACGCGGCGCCGCCGGACUACCUGACGCUGUCGCUCACGCCCGCCGGGGAAGCAUGGCCACGGCGGAAACAGCCCGGGGAGGUGACGCUGAGGCAUAUAGACGCGCCGCGUGACUACCUGAAGCUCUCGGUCGCGCCACCGGAUGAGGAUGAACCGAGCGCCGUCGCCGGCGAUACGUCGAGCAGCGCGGCGGAAACAACGCUGCCACCCAAGAAGCGAAAGCUUGCGCCUUGUGUUUGCCAUGAAACGGUGGCUAGCAGCUCACGGUCGCUCGCGCUGGCAAUCGUGACCCACGGUGACGACAACGCCUCGCAAUCUACGCCGGAAGCAAUGGGCACGGAGCCCAUCGACGCCGUCCCGCUGCAGGCGGUGUGCUACGGCCAUGCCAGGAUAGCCUCGCACCAGUUCAGGCUGAGCAGCGGUGCCAGAAGGAUCACAACGAACGACGCCGCGUCCACCUCAGGCAGCGCCGUGGCGGCGCCAUUCUCCACUGAGCCGAUUGACGCCGUUCCGCUGCGGGCGGCACCGCGCCGGUACAUCCCUCUCGCCGCCGACGCAGCCCCGACGGAGCCGGCCUGGAUACGCACGACGCUGGGCCUCCCCGCCGGACUGCGCCUCAGCUUCAUCGCCCAGAAGCGCAUCGAGCGCUCGGACCUCGACUUGCAGCAGAGCCGCCUGCUGAUCCCGAGCGGCGACGUGGCCCGGCUCUUCCCGCUCCUCUCCGAGGACGGGCUCCGCGCCGCCAACCUGGACAAGCCCUGGACGAGGCAGAAGCGGCAGGCGUCCGGCAACCACAGCGACAGCAGCGAGGAGAAGAAGGCGAGGGCGCAGGGGAAGAAGCACGGCGGGCUGGUCGUGCCGGUCUACGUCAACCAUGCCGGCGACCGGAUGAAUGCUGAGCUGACGCGAUGGACGUCCAACGGCAACACGGUGCUGAAAUUCGGAAGCCACCGGAGCUUCGUCGACGUGAGUGGGCUACAAGUGAUGGAUGAGAUCCAGAUAUGGGCGUUUCGGCAGGACGACGGUGGUCUCAUGUGUUUGGUGAUCGCCAAGAUAUAG